UUAUUGGAUAGAUACAAGCUGAAUAAAAUAAAGAUUUUUAUUAAUGAUAAACAUACACCUGAAUCAAUGAAUUUUCUCCCUUUCUUUUUCCCUAGCUUUGGCCCAAACUAGAAUCAAGGAAAACAAAAUUUUCCUUCAACAAUUUCUAAUCAAGCUAAGCUUAUUUUGGCACCAACUCAUAGCAGCUAUGGAGGAGGCAAUCUAAGGUAAGGAAGUUAGAAGUUGUGUUCGGCCAUGAGUCAGAGGUCUCCUAGCAAAGUACAUAUCAGUCGUGGGGUCUUGGCUUCUGGGAAACAGGAUUGAAUUCUUUUCUAUGUUUUGAAAUGUAACCUAUUGUAAAAAAAAUCUUAUAAACAGGGGAUCUAGUAUUAUGGUGUACUUAGUAUAUAAGUUUUAUUUCAAUUUAAUCAAGGUAAAAGUUUUUAAUUAAA